AUUGAACGCUGGCGGCAGGCCUAACACAUGCAAGUCGAGCGGCAGCGGGACCUUCGGGUUGCCGGCGAGCGGCGGACGGGUGAGUAAUGCCUAGGAAUCUGCCUGUUAGUGGGGGAUAACGCGGGGAAACUCGCGCUAAUACCGCAUACGUCCUACGGGAGAAAGCGGGGGCUCUUCGGACCUCGCGCUAACAGAUGAGCCGAAGUCGGAUUAGCUAGUUGGUGGGGUAAUGGCCCACCAAGGCGACGAGCCGUAACUGGUCGGAGAGGAUGAUGAGUCACGCUGGAAAGGAGACACGGUCCAGACUCCUACGGGAGGAAGCAGUGGGGAAUAUUGGACAAUGGGCGAAAGCCUGAUCCAGCCAUGGCGCGUGUGUGAAGGAGGUCUUCGGAUUGUAAAGCACUUUAAGUCGGGAGGAAGGGCUGUAGGCUAAUACCUUGCAGUUUUGACGUUACCGACAGAAUAAGCACCGGCUAACAUCGUGCCAGCCGCCGCCGUAA
rnacentral:rRNA from 1 species